ensembl:lncRNA
GCCUGAAUUACCUUCUCUUGUAGAAACUGUAGCAAAGGAGUGUGAUUAAGGAGAGGUAUUAGGUGGCAGAUUGGGGGUCUUUACAUAAAAGAAAUGUUUUUAAAUUCUAGAAUUUCCCCUUCCAAUUAGGUUAUAGCAGAGGAAGAAAUUUAAUUUUUUUCUACUUGAAGUGCUCAUUUCAGGCUCAUCAGCAAUGAGCUAUCUUUGGUGAUAGCUGCUGUAAAUGUACUCUUGGGAAACUGAUUUAAGAAACUGAAGCUCUUCAAGAUAAGGAAGUUUAGACAAUAAGAUCCUUCAUCCUUAUGGUGAUUAUUGCUCCCCCUAUUCAUCACAAGGCCAAAGUGGUGCACAAGAUAGACCUCCUAAUCAAAUUAAUUACUCAGUAGAAUUGGAAUACAAAAUACCCACGCGCGCUUAAAUGAAGAGAACCAAAAUAUAUCAUCAUACCAGAUGCUCUGAAGAAAAUAAUUACGUCCCAGCUGAAACUAAC